AUUGAACGCUGGCGGCAGGCCUAACACAUGCAAGUCGAACGAGUGGCGGACGGGUGAGUAAUGUCUGGGAAACUGCCUGAUGGAGGGGGAUACCUACUGGAAACGGUAGCUAAUACCGCAUACCAUCGGAUGUGCCCAGAUGGGAUUAGCUAGUAGGUGGGGUAAAGGCUCACCUAGGCGACGAUCCCUAGCUGGUCUGAGAGGAUGACCAGCCACACGGGAACUGAGACACGGUCCAGACUCCUACGGGAGGCAGCAGUGGGGAAUAUUGCACAAUGGGGGAAAGCCUGAUGCAGCAAGGCGGCGGGGAGGAAGAAGUCCUGCGGGUUGUAAAGUACUUUCAGCGGGGAGGCGUUACCCGCAGAAGAAGCACCGGCUAACUCCGUGCCAGCAGCCGCGGUAAUUC
rnacentral:rRNA from 1 species